UGACGUUGCGUGUGACUGUUUGUGUGACUGUGUGUGACUGUGUGUGUGACUGUGACUGUGUGUGUGACUGUGUGUGACUGUGUGUGUGACUGUGUGUGGCUGUCUGUGUGUGUGAGCCCUGUCCGUGUGUCUGUCUGUGUGUGUGAGCCCUGUGUGUCUGUCUCUGUGUGUGAGCCCUGUCUGUGUGUCUGGCUGUGUGUGAGCCCUGUCUGUGUGUCUGUCUCUGUGUGUGAGCCCUGUCUGUGUGUCUGUCUCUGUGUGAGCCCUGUCUGUGUGUCUGGCUGUGUGUGUGAGCCCUGUCUGUGUGUCUGGCUGUGUGUGAGCCCUGUCUGUGUGUCUGUCUGUGUGUGUGAGCCCUGUCUGUGUGUCUGUCUGUGUGUGAGCCCUGUCUGUGUGUCUGGCUGUGUGUAAGCCCUGUCUGUGUGUCUGUCUGUGUGUGUGAGCCCUGUGUGUCUGUCUCUGUGUGUGAGCCCUGUCUGUGUGUCUGUCUGUGUGUGUGAGCCCUGUCUGUGUGUCUGACCCCGCCGAGCCCGCGGGGCGCUCCCGCCGCAAGAUGGCGGCGCCGCGGCCCCGCCCCCGCCUCGCCCAAGAUGGCGGC
rnacentral:lncRNA from 1 species